CCUACGGGUGGCUGCAGUGAGGAAUAUUGGUCAAUGGACGAGAGUCUGAACCAGCCAAGUAGCGUGAAGGAUGACUGCCCUAUGGGUUGUAAACUUCUUUUAUAUGGGAAUAAAAUGUUCCACGUGUGGGAUUUUGUAUGUACCAUAUGAAUAAGGAUCGGCUAACUCCGUGCCAGCAGCCGCGGUAAUACGGAGGAUCCGAGCGUUAUCCGGAUUUAUUGGGUUUAAAGGGAGCGUAGGUGGAUUGUUAAGUCAGUUGUGAAAGUUUGCGGCUCAACCGUAAAAUUGCAGUUGAAACUGGCAGUUGGGAGUACAGUAGAGGUGGGCGGAAUUCGUGGGGAAGCGGUGAAAUGUUUAGAUAGCACGAAGAACUCCGAUUGAGAAGGCAGCUCACUGGACUGCAACUGACACUGGGGCUCGAAAGUGUGGGUAUCAAAAAGGAGUAGAUACCCUAGUAGUC
rnacentral:rRNA from 1 species